CGGAGGGGUGCAAGCGUUAUCCGGAUUCACUGGGUUAAAGGGUAGGCGUAAGGUGGCUUUGUAAGUCAGUGGUGAAAUAUUGCGGCUCAACCGCAAAACUGCCAUUGAUACUGCUUAGCUUGAAUCACGUCGAGGUGGAUGGAAUAAUACAUGUAGCGGUGAAAUGCUUAGAUAUGUAUUAGAACACCGAUUGCGAAGGCAGUUCACUAGGCGUGUAUUGACACUGAGGCUCGAAAGCGUGGGGAUCAAACAGGAUUAGAUACCCUGGUAGUCCACGCCCUAAACGAUGUAAACUCGACAUUAGCGAUAUACUGUUAGUGUCCAAGCGAAAGCGUUAAGUUUACCACCUGGGAAGUACGACCGCAAGGUUG
rnacentral:rRNA from 1 species